GGGAGAUAGAGGGCUCCUCUCAUUUGUUUGGCCUGUUUGCUGACUCUUACUCAGUGUCUCUGGAGUACUUAACACUUGCGGAUGCUGCUGAAAAAUGCUGAUCUACUAGUGGACCAGGUGCCCUGUCCCCCCCUGCUGCCACUCCUGGGGUUGGCACUGCACUUGCCACCCCCCUUUGCCAAUGCAAGUCUUGGUUGGGAAGUUCAUCUUGCACAAGGGAAAGGUGGAUCAUGGUACCUCCUAUACCUGGUGUGGAAGCACAGGAUGCCAAGCAUCUCAGCUGUAACCAAGUCCUGCAGUGAAGCAUUCCUCCUACAUCUGUGAGCACAGUGGGAGCCUGCAGAGAAUAGGAGAUAGGAGUUCUCCAAUAUUCUCCAACAAAAAGUCAGAGUUGACUGUCUGAGCUAAGUGAAUUAAGGUUAGAUCCACCGAUGCCCUCGGUUCGGAUGAACCACUUAAAAAUAUUAAUAUAGGUUUUGCAGAAGCAGCUAAACUUCAGUAUUUUUCACUGUGGAGACCUGCUACGCUGAUUUAUUUCAUUCCAUCAUCAGAGAAAUGAAAAUCUUCUCCCAAAAUAAUAAUUGUAAUCUACAGUGUACUGAUGUGUGAGGCAGUAUCAGCUUGGAUUUGCUGACCAUCAGACAGUGGAGCUUUUGAAGCUUAACAACACAUGCAGUGUCCCUAGAGAGACACUUGGUAAUGAGGGUUGAGAGGGGAAUGGGGGUCUUGCAGCCAAAAGUACAUGGGGCAGAACAUAGUGGAUGGAUGUAUCACCAUUUGGGUUUAUGCUCCAAAUCUGCCCUUCUGUGUGUGACUGAGAAGUGAUGGCGUGGCAUUCUGCUCUCCUCAGUGCAUAGCUGGUGGAAUGAAUUGCCUGUUUGGAAGAAAUCCUGCCACUGUUAAUAAAUAGUGAAGGUGCAUUAGCAACUGAGAGAUGUAUUUCUCAUAUUCUACACACUUUACUUACUUUCAGCUGCGUUGUAUUGUGCUGUCAUCUUCUUUCCUGCAAAAUACGAGUGAACUGAAGCCAGACCCCUGAAAGUCCUAAUUCAGAAGGAACUUUAACACACUUACAGCUGUGUGUUUACAAGGGGGAGAGAGUGAGAAUGAAACCAUCCUGACAUCCUUUCCAUCCUGGUCUUUCCUUUGCAGUUAAACCAGUGUUAAGAGGAGGGGCUUUAAUGAAAGAAAAUGCUGUUUACAGAAUAUUUGCUUUCCAGACACUUACAAUUUCCUCUUGAAUACAAGUGGUGAGUCCCAGCAAUUCCUCCUAAUUCUCUUUCAAAUGGAAAACACUCUAAGCAAAAAAUAAAAAAAUAAAAAAAUUCAUCUGCUUUGUGGUUUAAGUCACAAAUAAUUACUGCUUUAAACGAUGCUAUUGUAGUUACUUUUCAUGCUGAAUAAUGCGUCCUUUGGAUUUGAUUAUAUGUUGCAUUUAUAACAUUUUAAAUGUCAUUAAUUUUGAGCUGCAGCCAAUUGUUUUCUAAUUUCAUUUCACUCUGCGUGGCUGCAGAAAUGCAGUGAUUGCUUCUUUCAAUGAAUGUUGCAGAUUACAUUUCCCUACACAAAGACAUUCCCAUUAAUUUUAUCGCUUAAUCCUGUGAAGCUUUUGUAUGAAAGUACUCUUGGUUCUGACUCCUGGAUUCCUGGAGCAAGAUUUAAUUGAGAUGGUGACAGUGGGAAGUUGUGGGAGUGCAAUGGGAGUUCACUCCUGUACUUCCCAUGCUGUUACUUCUGUAACUUCAGAAUGUGAGAGCAUCAA